rnacentral:rRNA from 1 species
AGAGCGAACGCUGGCGGCAGGCUUAACACAUGCAAGUCGAACGGACCCUUCGGGGUUAGUGGCGGACGGGUGAGUAACACGUGGGAACGUGCCUUUUGGUUCGGAACAACACAGGGAAACUUGUGCUAAUACCGGAUGUGCCCUUCGGGGGAAAGAUUUAUCGCCAUUAGAGCGGCCCGCGUCUGAUUAGCUAGUUGGUGGGGUAAAGGCCUACCAAGGCUACGAUCAGUAGCUGGUCUGAGAGGAUGACCAGCCACAUUGGGACUGAGACACGGCCCAAACUCCUACGGGAGGCAGCAGUGGGGAAUCUUGCGCAAUGGGCGAAAGCCUGACGCAGCCAUGCCGCGUGAAUGAUGAAGGUCUUAGGAUUGUAAAAUUCUUUCACCGGGACGAUAAUGACGGUACCCGGAGAAGAAGCCCGGCUAACUUCGUGCCAGCAGCCGC